rnacentral:lncRNA from 1 species
CCCGCCUAGCUUCUCCUAGUUGCUAGAAGGCGAACUGCGAAUGCCACUCGGAGAAGAGCCAGGUGUCGCUGUGGUCCUCUACAAAUGCGCCGCCGCCGCACUCCUCGGCCUUAUAGGUUCCAGGAAAGCCCCGCCUAAGACGGAUCUUGGCCUCUCCUCAUCCCUUCCAGGUCCUUCUGAAGAUAUAUUUAUCAAGCAGCGGUGAGGAAGCCUAGAUUGAGGAUCAAGCUGAAAUGCUGACGUGGCUCUGGGUUCCUGCUGACCUCAUGCCUGGCCAAGUGCCCAGCAUUGGGAGGUGUUCGGUGUAUUGUUUGGGAAGCCAUAUUUUCUGGCAUUGGAAUCAAGGCACCUGGGUGCCCAUGGGACCAUCAACCAUGCUGGGGAUAACACUGCUAAAUGCUCCACACAAUCACGUCUGUGAAGAAGGAAGAUUGAUGGUGGCCCCUGCACGAGGCACAGACAAGACCUGUCAUAGUUGUCAUGUGGUUAUGUGCUGCCCUCUGCUCAAGCUCAGAAGCCUGCCAGCCCCAGGUCUGCAGUCUGCAGCAAUCAGCCUCCCUGUGCAGAGAAGUGGGGAAUGAAUCAGGCUGCAACAAAUGGAGAAUAACCAGUUCUCUACCUGUUCAUUCACUCAGCAAAUGUGUCCUCCGCGUGUGGUCCACCACAGGCAUGGAGGCUACAGUAGCGAGCAGAAUGGAUCUUUCCUCCACGGAGCCUACAGUUUGGGGAAGACCACCAAGAAAAAUCUAAUAAAACACUGAUGAGCCUAAUUCA